UUAUAGGAAAACCAGCAAGCCACUAUAACACUUCUAGGGUUUCCCUUCCAGCUGCACGAUGAAGCUUCUUCCUCUGUUUGUCCUUGCUAUGGUUAUGGUUAACGCUUGUGCCGUGUCUUCUCGCACAGCACCGAGAGACCAUGUACUGGAUGGAGUAGUGAAGAUGGCAGCAACGGGAGAGGGGACGGCAAUCGACAAUCAUCAUGCGAUACCAAGGACAGAGUAUAGCAGCUGGAGCAGCCCUGGAAACAUGCCCGGAAGUGUCCAUGACAUUGCUAGCGAAGAAGCCAAGCCAUAAGCGCAGCCUGAUAUAUGCAUGCCUUUGUAUGUAGCAGACUUGGCAUGCUAGGGUACGUAUACAUACUCUUUUGAGUCCUAUGUAUAGUAGCAGUUGCAUGUCGUGGGUUCCUGGUGUGCUACCUAUAAAUGUAAAUUAAGGGUGAGCCGGAUCACGUCUAUAUAUUUACAUAUGUUCUGUUUAUAUUGAAUAAAGCAACAUUUCUCUAUACUCAUUGAUAGUUUACAGUAUGAGCUCUUGAGUACUACCAAGAAGAUGAAUCAGUCCGAAAUACUAGCUUUACCUAUAUUAGAAGAACCAUAAGAAUAUCAGCGAGGUACACAGCGAAUCCUUCAUUAUAUGAAUAAAAAAUAAACCAUUUACUUGAAGUUGAUAUUGCCAUGGAUUCAUAAGAUUGAUGUUGAAGGAACAAUAUAAUUUUGCUAAUAUAUGGUCUAGAAAAUAACUAGGAAAACAUGAAACAAUCAAGUGUUGAUGUGAGAAAAUAAAAGAACUAUAUCACCAUAACUAUAUGUAGACAUGAAGGGAAACAUGCAUAUGCAGACGGCAUGCAAUUGUUAACUAGAGUCUCGCUUGUUGUCUGCUGGCAUGAUACAAUUGCACACUAGUUAAGAUCUUUAAUUCUUGAAAUAAAGUAGUGAGUAUUUCACGUUGAUGAAAAACAGCCCUCUCUCCUCAAAGGGGCAUGCAUUGUUUAUGUAAGCUGAAACCACACCAAUUUGUUUAUAUAACUUUCAUAUGAUACAAUUUCACUGAAACCACUUAAAAUAAAUCACUUGAUAAAGUACAAUGUCUCAAUCAUUGAAUAUAUAAAUUUCAUAUGAUACAAUUUCAUUGAAAAUGCCUUACACAAAUAGCUUCAUAAAGUAUCGACAUGGGCUUUUAGUCAUUAGUGUACAUGUGCCCCCCUGGGGGAUGCUGGAAUAAUGAGAUGUUAUCCUUUGGUUCAGUAUUUUGGCAAAAUGCUAGCUAUUAUUCUGGUAAUUAUAUUUAGUCAAUAAUAGAAAAGUUGACAAAAUUACUGAGAUUUACCUGUAGCUACAAGGUCCCUAUGCUAACUAGCUAGAAAUACACUACUUAUCUGACAUAUUAUGCUCAAAAAAAUUUCUGGACCCUCUAGUCUGCAAGAGAACUUUCAUCUGCAGCGACUGAGAUGAGAGCCCAGAGCAAAAUGCCCAAGGAUCACGACUAGUACUAUUGUUGAUAAACAUGCAGUUAAAUGAAGAAAUCCACUGUGUUUAAGAGCUCAGUGACUCCACUAAUAUCUGUCCUUCUACCUAUAUGCUUACAUAGAUAGAUGAUGACACUUUUAGUGCCCGACUGAAGCGGUUGGGUUAAAAUUUAGGCAGGAUUAUUCUCCACCUAUAAAUAAAAUAUGAAGUCAUAGUCGCGUCGUCGUAAUAAAAGCAUAAAGCACUAUCUUAGUGGAAAAUACUAUUGGUAGUGUUUGAUGAUUUACGCAUAAUUUAUUAUUAGACUGACAAUGAUUGGGCCAAGUAAUCACCAUAAUCUUCGAUUGGCGAUAUUUGCAAAUAACUUAUGUCACUGGCCAUAGUAAUGGGUGGGCUCUGAUUUGGCUGCCAGUUUUACUAUAGGAUUCUAUUGGUCCCAAAGGAAUGGCAUGAGUACCUUUUACAUCCACAUGAUGUUUUUUUAAUUCUAGUGUAUCAUUAAAUAACCUUUUAGUUGUUAGGCUUUUUGCCUAUAUGAAUUGUGCACUAGUUUUUUCUGACUAUAUAAACCGUUCCUGACCUGACCAAACAAUAGCCUUCAAGAAACAACACGCAAUCCAAACUUCGAUCGAAUCUCAAGGUGGAGAUUUCCCAGUUAAUUCACACACCAUGAAAGAGCAAUUGAAAGCAAGCAGGGUUAAGAUCUUGGCUGCCUUGCUGGUCUUCUCCAUGCUUACUCAAGGCAUGGCGGUUCGCGUCAAGGGGGUGGUGAGGAAUGGCAUCACCGAUGAGGCUGUCAGCGCAAAAACCACCCUCGGUGCAGGCAGCAGCACAGCCGUCAACAACCACCAUGCAAUCCCACGGGACCAGUAUAGUAGCCAUGGAGGAGAGGAUGGAUCAGGUGGCAGUGGUGGUGAUACUACAAAGAACUAGUGCCAUUCUCUGAGACCGUUCUGUUAGCUGAAGAUAUAUAUUCUGAUCUCUGAUGACAUAUUGUAUAGAUGUCAGCAGCGCUAAUAUAUUACUAUUCAUGUCUACGUGGAAAUAAGCUGCUAAAGGGAAGAGUAAUGUCGAAGAUAAUAUGCAUGUUAUUUACAUCCUCACAGAAGGAAAAAGCUAUGUUUUAUUUGAAAAAUAAAGAAGCUAUAUAUGUAAUAGAUGUAAUAUUCUCGCGUCUGUGUGUAAGGAAACUUUCAUGAUGUUACACGGCAGCCAUCGAUAAAAUUCAUGCC